ensembl:lncRNA
AGAAUUGGCCUGUCGAGCAUGUUUGGGAUUCAAGAAUGAAUUGGAAGCAAACGGAAGAGCUGACAUCCCCGCGCCCUUUCAAGUACCGGGGUUCUGCCAGUCUCCGGGACUUGGAGCUGCCCGCAGGGGAGACCAGUGGGGCCUCCUCUGGGAUCUACAUUCGGAGCCCCGUGCCCUUGCCAUAACGGAGGUGAACUGGCAGUGUCCAAGGAACUACCCUGAGAUCCCGGAGUCUAGCAGAGGCACCCUGAUGGCGAGGGGUGCAUGGCCCACGCUACCCCAGAGGAGAAGCCGCUGGAAGAAGCCUCGCUUGUCAAAAGCCAGCGGCAGUGUGCUGGGCCUUCCGCCCUGGCCUCUCUGUAGUUCGAAUUGCUUCCCUGCGGGGAUCCCAACCCUGACAGAGCCCCUACUGCUGGAGGGUGUCCAGUCUGGAGCCCCCUCACCGCCCUGGAUGGAGAAGGCACUCUCUGCCCGGCUCUGGUGCCCACCGACUGCCACCUCCACUGUUUCCAGCCCUCGGGCACCCACACCGAAUCCCUGCUUCUGGAGUGGGUUGCAGAGAGGGUCUGGAUGCUUCCAACCAAGACUUCCCCGGGAAUGUGAACCAUGCAGCAGAUGCCGAACAAACCCCAGAUGUUCAGAACCGGGGCAGGGGCAAGCUGUCUUCUGUACACGGGCCGCCUCCUGGGAGGGCCUGCUGAUUCUUCUGCCUGGUCCUGGAGUCCUGGCCUGGGCACCACCGCUCAGGAACACAGAGAUUGAGGCUGUGGGCUUGACCUCCCUCCUUUGAGCCAGGUGGGAGAUGGCCCCGGAUUGCCGGCCCAAACUGGCGGCCCAGAAAGCGCAGGAGGCGCCCGGUGACUCCUUCCCCGCGGCGCGCCAAGCGGGCCGAACUCCGCGGCUGAGUCGCGCGGCUCCAGUCACCGCGCGCGGGCUCGGGCUCCGGCCUCGGAGAGCGGUAAACGGAAUCGGUUUCCCACGGUUUCCCCCUUCAUCCCAGGGCCUUUCAAAAGCCGCUCACGAAUUCCGUCGUCCAGUUUGCGCGGAUUCUGAGCCUCGCAUUCACCCAGUGCCACCUGGAAAGGGGACCCUCGAGCCUCCCGCAUUCCCGGGCCUCCAGCCCGUGCACACGGGGAGCAACUUCGUUCCCCUGAGCGCCCUGGCCCCACGACGCGGGCAGAGCUCCGCCCGGUAAAGGUGGCACUGUGGUCGCUCCGGAAUGCUGCCCGCGUGGACGCGGCCGCCGCCUUCUGCUCCCGGUUCCGGCUGCGCGCGGGCAGAGCCCUGGAAACAACGAAAACGGCGAGCAGCGUUGCUUUCCGGAUGUCGGAGUCCCGGAAGCCUCUGGGUGCGAGCCGGUCCUCCGCGUCCCCAGACGUCCCAGGGCCGAGCUCACCGCCGGGCCGCCGGUACCGAAACAGACUCCCCCAGUCGGCUUGCCGGCAAUCCACGCCUCG